rnacentral:rRNA from 1 species
UACGAAGGGUCCAAGCGUUAUCCGGAUUUAUUGGGUUUAAAGGGUGCGUAGGCGGCGCGGUAAGUCGGGUGUGAAAUCUCGGAGCUUAACUCCGAAACUGCAUUCGAUACUGCCGUGCUUGAGGACUGGAGAGGAGACUGGAGUUUACGGUGUAGCGGUGAAAUGCGUAGAUAUCUGGAGGAACACCGGUGGCGAAGGCGGCAUCCUGGACCGGCAUUGACGCUGAGGCGCGAAAGCCAGGGGAGCAAACGGG